CCGAGUUUACAACUCCCAAACCCCUGUGAACAUACCAAUUGUUGCCUCGGCGGAUCAGCCCACUCCCGGUAAAACGGGACGGCCCGCCAGAGGACCCCUAAACUCUGUUUCUAUAUGUAACUUCUGAGUAAAACCAUAAAUAAAUCA
rnacentral:misc_RNA from 1 species